CCUACGGGAGGCAGCAGUGAGGAAUAUUGGUCAAUGGGCGCGAGCCUGAACCAGCCAAGUCGCGUGAGGGAAGACGGUCCUAUGGAUUGUAAACCUCUUUUGUCGGGGAGCAAAAGACGCCACGCGUGGCGUUCCGAGAGUACCCGAAGAAAAAGCAUCGGCUAACUCCGUGCCAGCAGCCGCGGUAAUACGGAGGAUGCGAGCGUUAUCCGGAUUUAUUGGGUUUAAAGGGUGCGCAGGCGGAAGGUCAAGUCAGCGGUAAAAUUGAGGGGCUCAACCUCGUCGAGCCGUUGAAACUGGUUGUCUUGAGUGAGUGAGAAGUAUGCGGAAUGCGUGGUGUAGCGGUGAAAUGCAUAGAUAUCACGCAGAACUCCGAUUGCGAAGGCAGCAUACCGGCGCUCAACUGACGCUCAUGCACGAAAGUGUGGGUAUCGAACAGGAUUAGAUACCCCAGUAGUC
rnacentral:rRNA from 1 species